GUAAGUAAAAGUCGUAACAAGGUUUCCGUAGGUGAACCUGCGGAAGGAUCAUUAAUGUGUCUGGGCCUCACGGCUCUUCAUUCCGACGCUGUGCGCCUUCGGGCUGCACGCUGAGGGAGCAUAUAUCCACCCCUGUGCACACACACGGUGGCGAGCUGGGUAACGGCUCGCCGCUGAUCUUUACACACGUCUAAAAGUCAUUGUAUGUUUAUUUGAGAUAAAAACACAACUUUCAGCAACGGAUCUCUUGGCUCUC
rnacentral:misc_RNA from 1 species